rnacentral:rRNA from 1 species
CGUACGCAACUUACCCAAAACUGGGGAAUAGCCCGGGGAAACCCGGAUUAAUACCUCGUAACAUAAUGAAGUGGCAUCACUUUAUUAUUAUAGCUCCGGCGGUUUUGGAUGGGCGUGCGCCUGAUUAGGUAGUUGGCGGGGUAACGGCCCACCAAGCCUACGAUCAGUAACUGGUGUGAGAGCACGACCAGUCACACGGGCACUGAGACACGGGCCCGACUCCUACGGGAGGCAGCAGUAAGGAAUAUUGGUCAAUGGACGCAAGUCUGAACCAGCCAUGCCGCGUGAAGGAUGAAGGUCCUCUGGAUUGUAAACUUCUUUUAUAUGGGAAGAAAUCCACUUUUUCUUGAGUGGUUGACGGUACCAUAGGAGUAAGCACCGGCUAACUCCGUGCCAGCAGCCGCGGUAAUACGGAGGGUGCAAGCGUUAUCCGGAUUCACUGGGUUUAAAGGGUGCGUAGGAGGGCAGGUAAGUCAGUGGUGAAAUCUCCAAGCUUAACUUGGAAACUGCCGUUGAUACUAUCUGUCUUGAAUACCGUGGAGGUGAGCGGAAUAUGUCAUGUAGCGGUGAAAUGCUUAGAUAUGACAUAGAACACCAAUUGC